AGGCGAACCGGGGGAACUGAAACAUCUAAGUACCCCGAGGAAAAGAAAUCAACCGAGAUUCCGAAAGUAGCGGCGAGCGAAAUUGGACUAGCCCUUAAGCUUUACACGCGUUAGACGAACGGUCUGGAAAGUCCGACGAUACAGGGUGAUAGUCCCGUAGUUGACGACGUGUGUUCAGUGAAAUCGAGUAGGGCGGGACACGUGAUAUCCUGUCUGAAUAUGGGGGGACCAUCCUCCAAGGCUAAAUACUACUGACUGACCGAUAGUGAACCAGUACCGUGAGGGAAAGGCGAAAAGAACCCCUGUGAGGGGAGUGAAAUAGAACCUGAAACCGUGUACGUACAAGCAGUAGGAGCAGGCUUUGUCCUGUGACUGCGUACCUUUUGUAUAAUGGGUCAGCGACUUAUAUUCAGUGGCAAGGUUAACCAUCUAGGGGAGCCGUAGGGAAACCGAGUCUUAACUGGGCGUUCAGUCUCUGGAUAUAGACCCGAAACCAGGUGAUCUAGCCAUGGGCAGGUUGAAGGUUGAGUAACAUCAACUGGAGGACCGAACCGACUAAUGUUGAAAAAUUAGCGGAUGACUUGUGGCUAGGGGUGAAAGGCCAAUCAAACCUGGAGAUAGCUGGUUCUCCCCGAAAGCUAUUUAGGUAGCGCCUCGGACGAAUACUACUGGGGGUAGAGCACUGUUAAGGCUAGGGGGUCAUCCCGACUUACCAACCCUUUGCAAACUCCGAAUACCAGUAAGUACUAUCCGGGAGACACACGGCGGGUGCUAACGUCCGUCGUGGAGAGGGAAACAACCCAGACCGCCAGCUAAGGUCCCAAAUUACUACUAAGUGGGAAACGAUGUGGGAAGGCUCAGACAGCCAGGAUGUUGGCUUAGAAGCAGCCAUCAUUUAAAGAAAGCGUAAUAGCUCACUGGUCGAGUCGGCCUGCGCGGAAGAUGUAACGGGGCUAAGUAGUAAACCGAAGCUGCGGCAAUGUGCUUUUGCACAUUGGGUAGGGGAGCGUUCUGUAAGCGGUUGAAGGUGUGUGGUAACGCAUGCUGGACGUAUCAGAAGUGCGAAUGCUGACAUGAGUAACGAUAAAGGGGGUGAAAAACCUCCUCGCCGGAAGACCAAGGGUUCCUGUCCAACGUUAAUCGGGGCAGGGUAAGUCGACCCCUAAGGCGAGGCCGAAAGGCGUAGUCGAUGGGAAACGGGUUAAUAUUCCCGUACUUCUUACAAUUGCGAUGGGGGGACGGAGAAGGCUAGGUGGGCCUGGCGACGGUUGUCCAGGUUCAAGUGCGUAGGCUUAAGAGUUAGGUAAAUCCGGCUCUUUUUAAGGCUGAGACACGACGUCGAGCCACUACGGUGGUGAAGUCAUUGAUGCCAUGCUUCCAGGAAAAGCCUCUAAGCUUCAGAUUGUAAGGAAUCGUACCCCAAACCGACACAGGUGGUCGGGUAGAGAAUACCAAGGCGCUUGAGAGAACUCGGGUGAAGGAACUAGGCAAAAUGGUACCGUAACUUCGGGAGAAGGUACGCUCUUGAUGGUGAAGUCCCUCGCGGAUGGAGCUGACGAGAGUCGCAGAUACCAGGUGGCUGCAACUGUUUAUUAAAAACACAGCACUGUGCAAAAUCGUAAGAUGACGUAUACGGUGUGACGCCUGCCCGGUGCCGGAAGGUUAAUUGAUGGGGUUAGACUUCGGUCGAAGCUCUUGAUCGAAGCCCCGGUAAACGGCGGCCGUAACUAUAACGGUCCUAAGGUAGCGAAAUUCCUUGUCGGGUAAGUUCCGACCUGCACGAAUGGCGUAAUGAUGGCCACGCUGUCUCCACCCGAGACUCAGUGAAAUUGAAAUCGCUGUGAAGAUGCAGUGUACCCGCGGCUAGACGGAAAGACCCCGUGAACCUUUACUACAGCUUGGCACUGAACAUUGACCCUACAUGUGUAGGAUAGGUGGGAGGCUUUGAAGCACGUACGCCAGUAUGUGUGGAGCCGUCCUUGAAAUACCACCCUUGUAGUGUUGAUGUUCUAACGUCGACCCCUUAUCGGGGUUGCGGACAGUGCCUGGUGGGUAGUUUGACUGGGGCGGUCUCCUCCCAAAGAGUAACGGAGGAGCACGAAGGUGGGCUAAUCACGGUUGGACAUCGUGAGGUUAGUGCAAUGGCAUAAGCCCGCUUGACUGCGAGAAUGACAAUUCGAGCAGGUGCGAAAGCAGGUCAUAGUGAUCCGGUGGUUCUGAAUGGAAGGGCCAUCGCUCAACGGAUAAAAGGUACUCCGGGGAUAACAGGCUGAUACCGCCCAAGAGUUCAUAUCGACGGCGGUGUUUGGCACCUCGAUGUCGGCUCAUCACAUCCUGGGGCUGAAGUCGGUCCCAAGGGUAUGGCUGUUCGCCAUUUAAAGUGGUACGCGAGCUGGGUUUAGAACGUCGUGAGACAGUUCGGUCCCUAUCUGCCGUGGGCGUUGGAAGAUUGAAGGGGGCUGCUCCUAGUACGAGAGGACCGGAGUGGACGAACCUCUGGUGUUCGGGUUGUGUCGCCAGACGCAUUGCCCGGUAGCUAAGUUCGGAAUCGAUAACCGCUGAAAGCAUCUAAGCGGGAAGCGAGCCCUGAGAUGAGUCUUCCCUGAUACUUUAAGUAUCCUAAAGGGUUGU
rnacentral:rRNA from 1 species